CGUCUCACUGAAGAUUAACAAGUGGCAACAUGCGAGACCCUUUUUCGUCCCUCGUCAUUACAUCAAUAUCGGUUUUCAGCGUCGCUUCAAAUCAAUAUGAUAUAUAAUCCGAACAUAUAGACUACACCCUGGCGACAGUGGUCCUGCGUCAAAGCCUUGUAAGGCAAAAGUUUAAUAUGAGGACGCCGAGGUGUUUGUUUGUCGCCAUAAAAGAACUGAUAUUAGAAGUCAAAGGUGGUCUUUACAUAUACUGCAGGAUGAGUCACCGAGUAAUUAUGUAGUUAGAUCAGCACUCGUGGACAAAACAGGGUUGGUGAGCCGUUCUGAAAAGCUCCCGUUAGACAGCGGACGAAAACAUCAAUAUGAUGCCAACACGAUCGCAGACAUCAUCAGACGGAGACUACGAAGCUCGUCGCCACGAUCGCGCAGCAAGAAGGACGAGCUCUGACGCACGGGACGGGACGAGGAAAGAUCGGUUUGGGCAUCAAAUACGGAUCUGGCAACUGGAUCGACCGAAGCUUCCAAAUGACGGCUUUUAUGCAACUCAUCCAAUGAGUUUACCGGAAAGCACCGGGGCUUCCAUAGUUUGCAAGUGAAUCCACCUCUAGAAAUUACGAUCAAUGACAAUACGGACACACAAUGACGUACAAUAUGGCGGCACAAUACAGCGAUCACGUGAUUGUGUGACGUUGGUGAUUGGGGUCUAUAUAUGAUUUUAAAAUUAAGAAUUUCCCAGUAAAAUAUUGUCUAUAAAAGUUGUGAAACAAUAAAACAAACAACAAAAAUGAAUGAAAUGUACAAAAAAAUGGAUAGAUAA